GAGGAAACAAGAUUGUCAUUUGUUUUUAAACUCUGGAUGGACUGCCUUCCAUGUGCGCUUUGAAUAACUAAAUACAGUUUCCCUGGAAGCUGGGCUUGACUGGAGUCUUCAGAUAAAGGUGUUUUGCACAAUUUCUGAGUGCUCUGCCCAAAACCAUUCUCCCCUUCUCCAUUGUUUGCUGUAGCAACUAGGGGAACCAAGAAGAUAUCAUAACCACACUGAUGAAGAGGAAUACCUGAGACAUCAUUCAAGUCAGAAAACUUUAAUAAGAAUAGAAAGCAUACUGUUAUGCUGAACAAUGGAGGAGGUCAGGAUGUAGACAGCACAGGACAAUCUAUCUGACCCUGAAUGGCACAAAACCAACAUGAGGCUCUUCAAUUCCAG
ensembl:lncRNA